UGGGGAAUAUUGCACAAUGGGGGAAACCCUGAUGCAGCGACGCCGCGUGAGCGAAGAAGGUUUUCGAAUCGUAAAGCUCUGUCCUAUGGGAAGAUAAUGACGGUACCAUAGGAGGAAGCCCCGGCUAACUACGUGCCAGCAGCCGCGGUAAUACGUAGGGGGCAAGCGUUGUCCGGAAUCACUGGGCGUAAAGGGUUCGCAGGCGGGAAUGCAAGUCAGUUGUGAAAGGCAGAGGCUCAACCUCUGUAAGCAAUUGAAACUGUAUUUCUUGAGAUGUGGAGAGGCAAGUGGAAUUCCUAGUGUAGCGGUGAAAUGCGUAGAUAUUAGGAAGAAUACCGGUGGCGAAGGCGACUUGCUGGACACAAACUGACGCUGAGGAACGAAAGCGUGGGUAGCAAACAGG
rnacentral:rRNA from 1 species